rnacentral:rRNA from 1 species
GCAGCCUGCAACUCGGCUGCAUGAAGCUGGAAUCGCUAGUAAUCGCGGAUCAGAAUGCCGCGGUGAAUACGUUCCCGGGUCUUGUACACACCGCCCGUCACACCAUGGGAGUAGGUAAUGCCCGAAGUCGGUGACCUAACCGGAAGGAAGGAGCCGCCGAAGGCAGGACUUAUAACUGGGGUGAAGUCGUAACAAGGUAUC